GUACACAAAGUUUGUUAGAUGCAUCAACCUACGACUUAGAUAUUUAUCAUUUCUUGUGUUCUGUUCACCUUACUUUCAGUCUAUAUUAGAAAAAUAAGUUGAGAUAAGUUUAAAUAAGUUCACACAAGAUCUAAUAAGUACAAUUUGUAACAACCCAUAUUUUUAAGCAUGUUUAAAUUAAGUAAUUAUGUUUAUUAGUUUAAUUAAACUUUAUAUUAAACAAAGAUUAUUAAGAAUUAUUAUUUUAAAUACAAUUAUGAUGGUGUGGAUUUUAUCAAAUUGAGGUAUUUAGUAAAUGAUUUUAAGUUUAAAAAAGAAAAAUAAAAAGAAAACCCAUUUGUUAUUUCGUGGCUUAAUAAGAAGUAGCCACAAAUCACAUUUGCUGUCAACUUCUCAUACAUUCUUUGGCAAAUAAAAACCCUAGCUUCAUUCUUCACUCAAAAACCACAAAAAAAUCUCCAAUCUCUCUCUUUCUCUCGCGGGCCCUGCCCGAUACCCACCGACGAAUGACUGUCGGACUUGUUGCCGUCGUCGUCGCGCUACUGCUGCCACUACUGUUGUUGCGGAUUUUCUCUCUCCUCUAUUAUGUUGUUGAUUAUUGCUGCUCCUCUGUUGUUUUUCUCUCUCCUCUGCUUUUAUGUUGCUGUUGUUGAUGUUCGAUUGGUGUUCCGACACCGGCGGGGUUCGGUCGGCACUCUGGUGUCGUCCUGCUGCUGGGCGUCGGUAUUGCUGUUGUUGUUAGGCUUUUAAUCGGUUUUGAAUUCCUUUGGCAAGAUUGAUUAUGAAUAAGGAGAUAUCAGACUCUCGAAGAUUGUUAUGGAGUCGAGUGUUAUGCAAAGAUGCGUAGAGGUCCCAAUUUCAUAAGCGGGUCGUUUAAUUAAGUCAGCGAAAAUUCUCCGUUACAAGGUCCCAAUUUCAUAAGCGGCUCGUUCAAUUAAGUCAGCGAAAAUUCUCCGUUACAAGGUACGUACGCGUACCAGUUUACUUUCAAGUUUAGUAUCAUGAUUAGGUUGCAGUUCAUUUUGUUGGAACCUAGUACCAUGAUAGGGAACAUUUGAUUGAGAUUGUUUGGUUAGACGUUUAUAACAUGAAAUCAGUAUGUUGCAUUGAAACAUGUUGCAUUGAGAUGCGAAGUUCUAUCGUAGUGUAACAUGAGCAUUAUUAAUCUGAUCUAUAGAGUAACGAGAGUGUUACCAGAGAUAAGAUUGAGUUUUGUAAUUAAGAGAGCAUGUAAAUGACUCUUUGAGGUUAUAAAAAGAAUAGUUAGUAGUAAAAGAAGAUUAUGGCAAUAACUUGUAGUUGGAUUCCCUACAAGUAUAGAACAAUGGGGGGAGUGUGGGACUUGUCCUACACUCCUACGCAGGCCUACUGUGACGACAGUAGUGUCCUUAUAUUUUGAUAACUCAAGUAGGCGGAAGGUUCCGUUCGAUCUUGGGGUAUGCAUACUAAGGUGAUGGGUGUGAGACGGAACAAAAUCGUAUUUGCAUUUCAUCUAAUAGACCAAGUUGUCUAUUAAGGAUUCAGUAGCUCGUAUGAUUCUAGUAAGAUGACGGUGCCCGUUCGAUGUCAAAUAAUGAAAGAUUAAAGGAUGUGAGAUAACGUAGUUUCAUAUAGCAGUUUGUAAUGUGUGCAUCAUUUAUGUUCAUAUGUUUUCAAUGGUUCAUUACGUACUCAGCAUAACUGAUUCUGUGUGUUAUUAUGUGUUUGUUGACCUGUGAGGAACCAUUGACACUUCAAUGGGGAGCAGACUAGGUGAGCUGGUGCUGCUGCAUGAUAUCAAGCAUACGGGGGCUAGUCUGUAGUUUUGAAGUUAAACAUUUGGUUUGAGUAUCACUGAAUUUUAUAGAACGUUGUUGAAUGGUUUGAGUUUGAAUAAAAAAGGGUCAUCUAUGAUUCCCGAGUUGUAUUUACUUUUUCUAUUCCGCUGCAAUUUGGUUUUGAGACAAUGAAUUUGAGCUACCGUA